CCUUCGUUCUUGGCAUGCAUGCUGUUCUUUUGUACAUGUGUUAUGGAGGUAGAACAAGUCCAGUGCCAUGGCUUCGGUGGCAGAAUGUUCCCUGUCUUCUAGUUCUGUCCUCAGUAGCUGGGGCAUUC
rnacentral:snoRNA from 1 species